rnacentral:rRNA from 1 species
AGGGUUCGAUUCUGGCUCAGGAUGAACGCUAGCUACAGGCUUAACACAUGCAAGUCGAGGGGCAGCAUGAAACUUAGCUUGCUAAGUUCGAUGGCGACCGGCGCACGGGUGAGUAACACGUAUCCAACCUACCGUUUACUACGGGAUAGCCUUCUGAAAAGGAGAUUAAUACCGUAUGGCAUUCUAAAGUUUCAUGACAUUAGAAUUAAAGGUUUACCGGUAAUCGAUGGGGAUGCGUUCCAUUAGAUAGUAGGCGGGGUAACGGCCCACCUAGUCAGCGAUGGAUAGGGGUUCUGAGAGGAAGGUCCCCCACAUUGGAACUGAGACACGGUCCAAACUCCUACGGGAGGCAGCAGUGAGGAAUAUUGGUCAAUGGGCGAGAGCCUGAACCAGCCAAAAGUAGCGUGAAGGAUGACUGCCCUAUGGGUUGUAAACUUCUUUUAUAAAGGAAUAAAGUGGUCCACGUGUGGAUUUUUGUAUGUACUUUAUGAAUAAGGAUCGGCUAACUCCGUGCCAGCCGCCGC